rnacentral:rRNA from 1 species
CCUACGGGCGGCAGCAGUGGGGGAUAUUGCACAAUGGGGGAAACCCUGAUGCAGCGACGCCGCGUGUGGGAAGACGGUCCUCUGGAUUGUAAACCACUUUCCCCAGGGACUAAGAUGACGGUACCUGUGGAGGAAGCUCCUCCUAACUACGUGCCAGCAGCCGCGGUAAUACGUAGGCAGCGAGCGUUGUCCGGUAUUACUGGGUGUAACGGGAGCGUAGGCGGUACUGCAAGUUGGGUGUCAAAUCUACCGGCUCAACCGGUAGCCGCACUCAAAACUGCAGUUCUUGAGUGAAGUAGAGGCAGGCGGAAUUCGUAGUGUAGCGGUGAAAUGCGUAGAUAUUAGGAGGAACACCAGUGGCGAAGGCGGCCUGCUGGGCUUUUACUGACGCUGAGGCUCGAAAGUGUGGGGAGCAAACAGGAUUAGAUACCCGGGUAGUC